AUUAGGUGGAGAACCCCAGUACUUCAACUCUUUGAGGAGAGAGAUUUCCAGUAUGUUCACACUAACUGGUAGUUCAAAUGCUUUCAGACAGAAAAAAUGAUUAUAUAGUCACAUGGUUUAUUUGAUUUAGACUUCUUCAUGUUAGGAUCAUAUGAAUGCAUUUUUAUUGGUUUUGUACAGAAAACAUAUGUAUGGACAACAGAAGAAAAAGAUCCAGUAGAAAAGAUCUAUCGGUAUGCUCUUUGAGCCUUUCUUUUUCUGUUGCCUUUGACCUUUGUUGACAAAUUUUCGAAUGCAUUGAGUUUGAUGUUUAUUCCUUGCAGCGAAACGCAUGGGCUUGAAGGAGUUCAAAAUGGGGUAUGAAUCAUCUCAGUUUGACCUUUGUUUUAAAUCCAUUGAUUAUUGACCCUUGUGUCUAAACUGCCCUAAGAUACUUAUUCCUGGCUUCAUAAAUCACAAAACGGAGCCAAAGCUAUAGUCAAUGCAGAAAGUAAACUGAGCUAACAAAUAAAAAACAAUGCUACGACACACAAGAUCAACAAGCUAGAGCCUAAAUUAACAUCAGUAAUUCAAAUCCACUUAAGUAAUAUAGUGUGUGAUGUAAGCCAAAAAAUCCCGAUGUAACCAUUCUAGCCAAAGACUCUUUAGCCCAUAAGUAAUUCAUGUUUUUGUAGAUGCUCGACAUGGUUCUUGGUGAUCCAUAGAAUGAGCACCCUGAUCUCUGUUCUCCUCGGUUCCUGCGUGUGUGGAAAAGUAGCGGUGAGGUUCAAUAACUGGUUACACAUUGUUUUUUGAUUGCUCAGCACAACCAUGAUGUUUGAUGAAAUGUUCAACUCUGCUAUUGCACAUUUGCACGCUGCAGUGCAGUGUUGAAAUGUAGUUUACUUUUUGUUUGAGAAUUCACAUGACAUGUCAAUUUGUACAUUUUUAAGAGUCCAAAUUAGGUUCGUUUUGCAUAAUACAUGUGGUGUUUAAUACCAUUGUAUUCCGAAAAUGAUAUGAGCUUACCUUGCUGUAUCUCCAUGUAUAUCAUCAAAAUUUCUUUAAAAUGGACGCUUGAUUGAUUGAAAGACCUAAUGAAUUGCUAUUUGUCUUUGUUUUCAAAGGGAUGGCCUAUGACCCUUAAGAACUCAUCUGGAGCGAAGAGCAGCUGAGCAGGUAAUUACUCUGUCUCGAUUCGUUUUGAACGCAUAAUAUAAUCUAUACAUCAGAACCUAGCAGGCU
rnacentral:lncRNA from 1 species